CUGACACAGGGAGGUAGUGACAAUAAAUAACAAUGCUGGGCUUUUCUAAGUCUGGCAAUUGGAAUGAGAACAAUUUAAAUCCCUUAUCGAGGAUCAAUUGGAGGGCAAGUCUGGUGCCAGCAGCCGCGGUAAUUCCAGCUCCAAUAGCGUAUACUAAAGUUGUUGCAGUUAAAAAGCUCGUAGUUGAAUUUCUGGUCUCGGACAGCGGUCUGCCUCAAACGAGGUACGCACCACCUGUUCAGGUCCAUCCUCGGAGAAAACAUGCCUGUGAUUCAGUUCAUGGGUAUGGGAUCUUCGUCAUUUACUGUGAGCAAAAUAGAGUGUUCAAAGCAGGCUUAUGCCGUUGAAUACAUUAGCAUGGAAUAAUAAAAUAAGACCUUGGUCUAUUUUGUGGUUUGUACUCCAAGGUAAUGAUUAAUAGGGAUAGUUGGGGGUAUUCGUAUUCAAUUGUCAGAGGUGAAAUUCUUGGAUUUAUGGAAGACGAACUACUGC
rnacentral:rRNA from 1 species